AAUCAAGUGCCUUAAGGGUGUUCGGUGGAUGCCUUGGCGCUGAGAGGCGAUGAAGGACGUGCUACGCUGCGAUAAGCCGUGGGGAGCUGCGAAGAAGCUUUGAUCCGCGGAUUUCCGAAUGGGGAAACCCACCUUCGAUAGCCGGAACUCCAAGACCUUGUGUGUUGGGGUUCGACCAGAAAUGCGAGAAAUCAAACCGCGAGGUUUUGGAUUUCCGGUUAUCAAGAGAAGGUAUGAGACUUCUGAAUACAUAGGAGGUUUCAAGCGAACCCAGGGAACUGAAACAUCUAAGUACCUGGAGGAAAGGACAUCAACAGAGACUCCGUUAGUAGUGGCGAGCGAACGCGGACCAGGCC
rnacentral:rRNA from 13 species